rnacentral:misc_RNA from 1 species
GGAUUAACUCUCUCUCUCUUCUCUUAAGAGCCAACCUACGAAAACAAUUCUCUCAAAGUACAAUGGCUCCUGCAACUCUUACAGCCCUGGCAGAGGAGAAAACCCUGCAGGAAAGCUUUGUCCGAGACGAAGAUGAGCGUCCUAAAGUUGCAUACAACCAAUUCAGCGACGAAAUUCCAGUGAUUUCAUUAGCUGGGAUCGAUGAAGUCGUUGGUGGGAAGAGAGCUGAGAUAUGCA